rnacentral:rRNA from 1 species
AUUGAACGCUGGCGGCAUGCUUUACACAUGCAAGUCGAACGGUAACAGGCCUUCGGGUGCUGACGAGUGGCGAACGGGUGAGUAAUGCAUCGGAACGUGCCCAGAGGUGGGGGAUAACGCAGCGAAAGCUGUGCUAAUACCGCAUGUGAUCUGAGGAUGAAAGCGGGGGACCAGGCAGCAAUGUUUGGCCUCGCGCCUUUGGAGCGGCCGAUGUCAGAUUAGGUAGUUGGUGGGGUAAAGGCCUACCAAGCCGACGAUCUGUAGCUGGUCUGAGAGGACGACCAGCCACACUGGGACUGAGACACGGCCCAGACUCCUACGGGAGGCAGCAGUGGGGAAUUUUGGCCAAUGGGCGCAAGCCUGAUCCAGCAAUGCCGCGUGAGGGAAGAAGGCCUUCGGGUUGUAAACCGCUUUUGUACGGAACGAAAAGGCUCUGGCUAAUACCUGGGGCUGAUGACGGUACCGUAAGAAUAAGCACCGGCUAACUACGUG